rnacentral:rRNA from 1 species
GAGUUUGAUCCUGGCUCAGGAUUAACGCUGGCGGCAUGCCUAAUACAUGCAAGUCGAACGGAGUAGCAAUACCUAGUGGCGAACGGGUGGGUAACACGUAUCUAAUCUACCAUUUAGUGGGGAAUAACUGUUGGAAACGACAGCUAAUACCGCAUAAUAUUGCUGGAUAAUUUCCAGUAAUGAAAGGAGCUUUCAAGCUCCGCUGAUUGAUGAGGAUGCGGCGCAUUAGCUAGUUGGUAGGGUAAUGGCCUACCAAGGCAAUGAUGCGUAGCCGAUCUGAGAGGAUGAACGGCCACAUUGGGACUGAGACACGGCCCAAACUUCUACGGAAGGCAGCAGUAGGGAAUUUUUCACAAUGGGCGAAAGCCUGAUGGAGCAAUGCCGCGUGACUGAUGAAGGUCUUCGGAUUGUAAAGGUCUGUUGUAAGGGAAGAAAUGGUAAAACAGGAAAUGGUUUUAUCUAUGACGGUACCUUACCAGAAAGCCACGGCUAACUAUGUGCCAGCAGCCGCGGUAAUACAUAGGUGGCAAGCGUUAUCCGGAUUUAUUGGGCGUAAAGGGUGCGUAGACGGUUUUGCAAGUCUGAGGUUAAAUUUAGGAGCUCAACUCCUAAUCGCCUUGGAAACUACAAGACUAGAGUAUAGGAGAGGUUAGUGGAAUUCCAUGUGUAGCGGUGGAAUGUGUAGAUAUAUGGAGGAACACCAGUGGCGAAGG